GACGAACGCUGGCGGCGUGCUUAACACAUGCAGGUCGAACGGAAAGGCCCUGCUUUUGUGGGGUGCUCGAGUGGCGAACGGGUGAGUAACACGUGAGUAACCUGCCCUUGACUUUGGGAUAACUUCAGGAAACUGGGGCUAAUACCAGAUAGGAGCUCCUGCUGCAUGGUGGGGGUUGGAAAGUUUCGGCGGUUGGGGAUGGACUCGCGGCUUAUCAGCUUGUUGGUGGGGUAGUGGCUUACCAAGGCUUUGACGGGUAGCCGGCCUGAGAGGGUGACCGGCCACAUUGGGACUGAGAUACGGCCCAGACUCCUACGGGAGGCAGCAGUGGGGAAUAUUGCACAAUGGGCGGAAGCCUGAUGCAGCAACGCCGCGUGCGGGAUGACGGCCUUCGGGUUGUAAACCGCUUUCGCCUGUGACGAAGCGUGAGUGACGGUAAUGGGUAAAGAAGCACCGGCUAACUACGUG
rnacentral:rRNA from 1 species